rnacentral:lncRNA from 1 species
GGAGCGGGGUGUUGGCGGCGGCCGGUUCGGGCGGCGACUCGCGCUUCUCUGGGCGGCGGCGCUUGGCCAUGUCGUGUCGGGGAAGGUAAUGAGCCGCAGAGCCCCGGGGUCUCGGCUGAGCGGCGGCGGCGGCACCAACGGCACCAACUAUUCGCGGAGCUGGAAUGACUGGCAACCCAGAACUGAUAGUGCAUCAGCCGACCCAGGUAAUUUAAAAUAUUCUUCAUCCAGAGAUAGAGGUGGUUCUUCCUCUUACGGACUGCAACCUUCAAAUUCAGCUGUGGUGUCUCGGCAAAGGCACGAUGAUACCAGAGUCCACGCUGACAUACAGAAUGACGAAAAGGAGAGAUCGAUGUCUUAUUGUGAUGAGUCUCGACUGUCAUAUCUUCUUCGGAGGAUCACCCGGGAAAACGACCGAGACCGAAGAUUGGCUACUGUAAAGCAGUUGAAAGAAUUUAUUCAGCAACCAGAAAAUAAGCUGGUACUAGUUAAACAAUUGGAUAUCUUGGCUGCUGUACAUGAUGUGCUUAAUGAAAGUAGCAAAUUGCUUCAGGAGUUGAGACAGGAGGGAGCUUGCUGUCUCGGCCUUCUUUGUGCUUCUCUGAGCUAUGAGGCUGAGAAGAUCUUCAAGUGGAUUUUUAGCAAAUUUAGCUCAUCUGCAAAAGAUGAAGUUAAACUCCUCUACUUAUGUGCCACCUACAAAGCACUAGAGACUGUAGGAGAAAAGAAAGCCUUUUCAUCUGUAAUGCAGCUUGUAAUGACCAGCCUGCAGUCAAUUCUUGAAAAUGUGGAUACACCAGAAUUGCUUUGCAAAUGUGUUAAGUGCAUUCUUUUGGUGGCUCGAUGUUACCCUCAUAUUUUCAGCACUAAUUUUAGGGUGAGUUCCUCAUUCCGCUGUUCAGAUCAUGGGGUGAGGGGGAUGGUUGUGUGUGUGAGGAACUGAGGAAUCAGAUGGAAAACAGUGCCUCUGCUCCUUUGAAUAUAAUCAGUGAUAUUUGAGGUUCCAGGGUUAAAUGCCGCAUUUUUCUUUCUGACGUUCGUACCUUAAAAUAUUUGAAGAAAAUAAACUAUUUCAUUGUUGUCA